GACGAACGCUGGCGGCGUGCUUAACACAUGCAAGUCGAGCGGAGCGGCGAACGGGUGAGUAACGCGUGAGUAACUGCCCCCCUCUCUGGGCUAACAGUUGGAAACGGCUGCUAAUACAGGCUAGUGGGGGGGGCCUCGGGUGCUAUCGGCUUGUUGGUGGGGUAGUGGCCUACCAAGGCGACGGCGGGUAGCCGGCCUGAGAGGGCGACCGGCCACAUUGGUCUGAGAGACGGCCCAAAAGCCGACGGGAGGCAGCAGUGGGGAAUAUUGCACAAUGGGGGAAACCCUGAUGCAGCAACGCGCGUGCGGGAUGACGGCCUUCGGGUUGUAAACCGCUUUCAGCCAUGACGCGGUAGUGGCAGAAGAAGCACCGGCUAACUACGUGCCAGCAGCCGCGGUAAUUC
rnacentral:rRNA from 1 species